AGGUACAAGGGGCUCAUUGGUAGCCUGGCCUGCUUUUGGUAUAUCAAUGAGGACAUCCCUGACGUAAAUUCGUUUCGUGACAGUGGGUGAUUGAGAAAGGAGCCCAAGCAGAAGGCAGAACACAGAUGGAGCAGUUGACUUGUUCUUGUUCAUUUCCCUUUCCGCAACGAAUAGAAUCCAAUUAAUUAAUUUGGGUGUAUGCUGAUUGAGAUAGUUAAUCAAUUGGGUAUGUAGACCAUGGUGUUGGUAGCAUGGGGUGGCCACAUCCAGCGAGGGUGGCGUUCUGUGGAUUUGGCGCCCCCCAU